rnacentral:lncRNA from 1 species
UCUGGAAAAUAAAAUUACUGUAUUUACUGAAAUACUACUCUUCGUGUAGGUAUUUUGCCAUAUAUUUGAGAGAAAGCUAAAAGUAAAGGAAAUUGUAUGACAUGUAAUAGUCCUUCUUAAAAACGCAUGCAGUCAUUCCUUUGUAGUACCUCAUAUUCAGCCAAGUACUUGCUCUCUCCCUCAUUCAGUAUGGGAGGGCAGCUUUCAGUUUGCUUAGAAAGCAACGGUAGAAGGAAAGAGCUUAUCAGGAACACAGAAUCUUAAAAUGGAAUAAAUCUGAACCCCGUGGGAAGUAAAGAAUCAAAAUACCUAUUUAUUUUUAAAAAUACCUAUUUAUUUAAAGAUUAUAGUAUGUGAUAAUCAUUUUUAAAGUAUGUGAUUAAAUCUCAUAGGUUUUCCAGCAAUGAAAAAAUCAGUUGUAAAACCAAAGCUGAUUUUUUAGAAAACUUGAAAAUUUAAGUCAGUCCUACCCAUUGCAUAGGUUCCUCUAAAACUUUAUCUUAAAGAGUCAUUUUACAAUAAUACAACUAUUAAAAAAUGUAACUGCUGUUUUAUUAUUUUAAAAUACAAUAAGAAAUACUAAUAGUUUAAAAGAAAGUGGGGGAAGGAAAAGUAGAGAAAGAAAUGCCAAUUCCAGUCCAAAGCUUUAUUUGCCAAGUUUUCUUAGAAUACAUUUUACCAAGUUAUAAACUCUUGUAAAUAGAAUCUAUAAUGGAAAUACUGAGAGACUUUGCCUAAAGUGGCAUUAUUGGAUGCUGCUGUGAUGCUACUGUAAUAAGUUAUUAAAUUGUUGC